GAAUGGGGAUCGAUUUAGCCAUGCUAGUUGUACGAGUUUAGACUCGUAGCAGAUAGCUCAGUAACACGUGGCCAAACUACCCUAUGGAUCCGGACAACCUCGGGAAACUGAGGCUAAUCCGGAAUACGGCUCUCAGCCUGGAAGUGGCGAGAGUCAGAAACGCUCCGGCGCCAUAGGAUGUGGCUGCGGCCGAUUAGGUAGACGGUGGGGUAACGGCCCACCGUGCCCAUAAUCGGUACGGGUUGUGAGAGCAAGAGCCCGGAGACGGUAUCUGAGACAAGAUACCGGGCCCUACGGGGCGCAGCAGGCGCGAAACCUUUACACUGCACGACAGUGCGAUAAGGGGACUCCAAGUGCGAGGGCAUAUAGUCCUCGCUUUUCACCACCGUAAGGAGGUGGUAGAAUAAGUGCUGGGCAAGACCGGUGCCAGCCGCCGCGGUAAUACCGGCAGCACGAGUGAUGACCGCUCUUAUUGGGCCUAAAGCGUCCGUAGCUGGCCACGCAAGUCUAUCGGGAAAUCCGCGCGCUCAACGCGCGGGCGUCCGGUGGAAACUGCGUGGCUUGGGACCGGAAGAUCAAAAGGGUACGUCUGGGGUAGGAGUGAAAUCCCGUAAUCCUGGACGGACCACCGGUGGCGAAAGCGCUCUCUGAAAGACGGAUCCGACGGUGAGGGACGAAAGCUCGGGUCACGAACCGGAUU
rnacentral:rRNA from 1 species